GCUACCAGCGAAACUUAAAGUCAGCCAUCUUUGUUCGGCGAGGCGCGGGAAUUCGGACACGCUUGGUGCUCAUAUUUUGAGAUAAAAUUUGCAUUGCCCAAAUGACUUUACGAGAGUCUUCAAGUACUGAUUACGUAAUGAGUAUCGGUCUGCCAAGUAGAUCAGACAGACUUUUGCAUGCUGCCCUAUAGCAGACUUGACCAGACCAAUGCCUAGACUAGGCAGGACAGGCUGGAUGAUGGCCAUCACCAUGGUGACUGGGAUGACCUUAAGGGUGACUGAUCACAUGACUAGAGACGCUGGUUACUGGUGGACGAUUCAUCAGGCUCAUCUUGAAGACUGCUGAAGGGACUUGGCUGGACUGGAGUGGCCUGUGUUAGACAAAAGCAAAUCCAUGGCAAUGACAUCUCCCUAUCCAUCAUGCAAGAUGUGCAUGCAUCUUCAAAGGCCAAAAUGACAGGCUCUUAUGAGAAGGUGACUGAUCACAUGACUAGAGACGCUGGUUACUGAUAGACGUUUCUUCAGGCUCAUCUUGAAGACUGCUGAAGGGACUUGGCUGGACUGGAGUGGCCUGUGUUAGACAAAAGCAAAUCCAUGGAGUUAACAAAAGUUUAAAUCAGUAAAAGUUGCAUUCCAAGUGCUGUUCAAGGAAUAUAUUUUUUUUCUCAUACAUUUUCAAUUUUUAUGUUUGAUAUCCAACCCCAAAACUCAACUGGACACAAUCAGAUCCACUUUUUGAGCAGACUAACUCCCGGUCCAUACAUUAUUAUUUACGAUUGCAAGAAUGGAAUUAUUGUCGAGAUGCAAGUAAUUCAAUCUUUAGGCCGCUUUUUUCCCCCCAUGUCUCAUUCAAAGUAAAUAACGUUUGUUUUGCAAAAAAAAUUGCAAUGUUAUAAUACAAAUCUAUUUUUUCAGGAUGAAACUUAAAUAUAGCACAGGGAAUGCAACUUUACACUUUAAAGAAAUGUACAUGGCAAAUAAAAUGAAAAAUAAAUGGAAGAACAUUUGUUCCAGGCACGUCACAAAUUCUGAAUUUGUGUUUUAAACUUAAAGAAGAUAACUACACAUUGCAAAAAUUGUUCAAAAAGGAAACAAUUGUUUACAUUUUGGCAAGAGGCCUGAUUACAGACCUAACUUAUUCAGACUUGUCAGUCUUAAGGCGAAUACACUCUGUAUCCAAAUAUUUACACUGAUAAUUCCCUGACUCUUCAUUUUGUAUUAAAAGUGUUUGCACUUCAGGUCCUUAUGGAACAAAACUUGAACCUAUAAUAGUAUUUCCUUUACUUUUUAACGACCUUCACAAAUAUUACUUGACAAGAACGUCUCAAAGGUUAGAACAUUUUAGAAUGUUUUGCAAUAAGGACUGCUUUUCUUGUUUGGUUGGUUAUUUCCUAAAAGAAAUUCAGAAUUUGUUUGACGUGUGCCUGGUUCAUAAUGUUCAACUUGUGAUAAAUUGUACAAUGAAAAAAAAACUUUAAAUUUUUAAUCUUAAUAUUUACCAUGCUUUUAAUUAUAUGGAUCUACAUGUAGAAUGGCACAUCAUUAUUUAGUAGGUGUGUGAAUGUCUUUGAUGUCUGUUACUGGUAAUAUUACAGCAAUUUAAUUAAAGUUGGUGUAUCAUGUUUUUUCCCAAAAUUUCGAUUUUCUUUUCCUGAAAAUAUUGCCCUGCAACAAAUAAUAGGCCAAA
rnacentral:lncRNA from 1 species